rnacentral:rRNA from 1 species
AUUGAACGCUGGCGGCAGGCCUAACACAUGCACGUCGAACGAGUGGCGGACGGGUGAGUAAUGUCUGGGAAACUGCCCGAUGGAGGGGGAUAACUACUGGAAACGGUAGCUAAUACCGCAUACCAUCGGAUGUGCCCAGAUGGGAUUAGCUAGUAGGUGGGAUAAAGGCUCACGGAGGCGACGAUCCCUAGCUGGUCUGAGAGGAUGACCGGCCACACGGGAACUGAGACACGGUCCAGACUCCUACGGGAGGCAGCAGGUGGGAAUAUUGCACAAUGGGCUCAAGCCUGAUGCAGCCAUGCCGCGUGUAUGAAGAAGGCCGUCGGGUUGUAAAGUACUUUCAGCGGGGAGGCGUUACCCGCAGAAGAAGCACCGGCUAACUCCGUGCCAGCAGCCGCGGUAAUUC